UACGUAGGGCGCAAGCGUUGUCCGGAAUCAUUGGGCGUAAAGAGCGUGUAGGCGGCCAAUUAAGUCCUGCGUGAAAUCUCGGGGCUCAACCCCGAGCGGUCGUGGGAAACUGGUUGGCUAGAGUGCGGGAGAGGAGAGUGGAAUUCCUGGUGUAGCGGUGAAAUGCGCAGAUAUCAGGAAGAACACCAGUGGCGAAGGCGGCUCACUGGCCCGGUACUGACGCUGAGGUGCGAAAGCGUGGGGAGCAAACAGG
rnacentral:rRNA from 1 species